CUCCCUGUUGAAGUCAGUCCAGUUUUCCCAGGAGACUCCAGUCUGGCUUGAGAAAUUGGUGUUAAAAACAGGGAA
ensembl:miRNA Mir145b microRNA 145b